UUUAGGACAGUCAUAGAGAUUGCAAUUUUGGAGAUUGUAGAUUUUAAAC
rnacentral:tRNA from 1 species